GAAAUUGGUGGGAAAAAGGGAGGAUUUGAGUACAGUGUAACAUGGUGCUUUACGGCAACAAUCAUUGCAACAGUGGUGUCUGUGAUUGGAUUUAUACUUUGUAUCGUCGGUCUGAUCAUUUGUGACACCUGUGAUGACAGCGUAUCCUCGUCAAACUCAGUGACUGUCGGCUUUGCCUUAGCUGUCGCUGGUUUUGUCUUACCUGUCCUUACGCUGGUCAUUGUGAUCAUCCUGGUGAUCCUUGUCUGUUGUGGAAAAAAUACGAAAAAAC